rnacentral:lncRNA from 1 species
AAGAAGGACAGGUUGCCUGUCUCCAGAGACUGCCACAGGCUCGCUGCCCCCAGGGCCCACACAGACCAAUCAACAGACAAGUCAGAUGCUGAACUGGUUCUGCACAGAAAGUCUAGGAUUUGGCGCUUAAGGAACACCACUUCUCAAAACAUUCAUUACUGCCGGUAUUGCAAGUUACAGCUCUUAAAGAACGAUAAGCAAGCAACAAAAGGACACAGCAUGGAUCACUUGGCUAAAGAUAGCUGA